UACGGGGGGGGCAAGUGUUCUUCGGAAUGACUGGGCGUCAAGGGCACGUAGGCGGUGAAUCGGGUUGAAAGUGAAAGUCGCCAAAAAGUGGCGGAAUGCUCUCGAAACCAAUUCACUUGAGUGGGACAGAGGAGAGUGGAAUUUCGUGUGUAGGGGUGAAAUCCGUAGAUCUACGAAGGAAGGCCAAAAGCGAAGGCAGCUCUCUGGGUCCCUACCGACGCUGGGGUGCGAAAGCAUGGGGAGCGAACAGG
rnacentral:rRNA from 1 species